AUUGAACGCUGGCGGCAGGCCUAACACAUGCAAGUCGAGCGAACCUAGCUUGCUAGGUGAGCGGCGAACGGGUGAGUAACACGUAGGAAUCUGCCCGAUAGUGGGGGACAACGUCUCGAAAGGGACGCUAAUACCGCAUACGCCCUAAGGGGGAAAGCAGGGGAUCUUCGGACCUUGCGCUAUCGGAUGAGCCUGCGUCGGAUUAGCUAGUUGGCGGGGUAAAGGCCCACCAAGGCGACGAUCCGUAGCUGGUCUGAGAGGAUGAUCAGCCACACCGGAACUGAGACACGGUCCGGACUCCUACGGGAGGCAGCAGUGGGGAAUAUUGGACAAUGGGGGCAAUCCUGAUCCAGCCAUGCCGCGUGUGUGAAGAAGGCCUUCGGGUUGUAAAGCACUUUAAGCGGGGAGGAAAGUUUGCUGGCUAAUAUCCAGCGGAAUUGACGUUACCCGCAGAAUAAGCACCGGCUAACUCCGUGCCAGCAGCCGCAGUAA
rnacentral:rRNA from 1 species